UGGGGUAUGGUAUAAUAUGAGUACAGUAAAGUUUGUGACGGUGGCUAUCUUUUGAAAGGUGGUGAUGCUUAUGAAAGUAAGUGUUCACUCUUUAGAAAGGAGAAGCCUUUUGUCUGUAGCUGAAGCAUUAGGGCUAAUGAUUAGUUUCGGUUCUUUAAUCGCGACUAUCAUCUUUGGCAUCCUAA
rfam:Enterococcus sp. 2G9_DIV0600 scaffold00003, whole genome shotgun sequence.